CCUACGGGAGGCAGCAGUGGGGAAUAUUGGGCAAUGGAGGAAACUCUGACCCAGCGACGCCGCGUGAGGGAUGAAGGCCUUCGGGUUGUAAACCUCUUUCAGUAGGGAAGAAGCGAAAGUGACGGUACCUACAGAAGAAGCACCGGCUAACUAUGUGCCAGCAGCCGCGGUAAUACAUAGGGUGCAAGCGUUGUCCGGAAUUAUUGGGCGUAAAGAGCUCGUAGGUGGUUCGAUACGUCGGAUGUGAAAAUCAGGGGCUCAACCCCUGACCUGCAUCCGAUACGGUCGAGCUAGAGUUUGGUAGGGGAGACUGGAAUUCCUGGUGUAGCGGUGGAAUGCGCAGAUAUCAGGAGGAACACCGAUGGCGAAAGGCAGGUCUCUGGGCCAAUACUGACACUGAGGAGCGAAAGCGUGGGGAGCGAACAGGAUUAGAUACCCUGGUAGUCCACGCCGUAAACGGUGGGCGCUAGUUGUGCGAACCUUCCACGGUUUGUGCGACGCNGCUACGCAUAGUACGCCCGCCGUCGGGAGGUACGAGUCGCGAAGAAGUUAAACGUAACGUAAAGGUAAGUUAGUUACGGCGUGAGACGUGCCGACGGCGACGACGAGGGAGGAGG
rnacentral:rRNA from 1 species